AAUUAACGCUGGCGGCAUGCCUAACACAUGCAAGUCGAGCGAGAAACCGUCCUUCGGGCGGGAGUACAGCGGCGCACGGGUGAGUAGCGCGUGGGUAAUCUACCUCUAUCUGGGGGAUAACACACCGAAAGGUGUGCUAAUACCGCAUAAUCCGGCGAACCUUCGGGUGAGUCGGCAAAGGUGGCCUCUUCUUGAAAGCUGCCGGAUGGGGAUGAGCCCGCGUCCCAUUAGCUUGUUGGUAGGGUAACGGCCUACCAAGGCGACGAUGGGUAGCUGGUCUGAGAGGACGGCCAGCCACACUGGAACUGGAACACGGUCCAGACACCUACGGGUGGCAG
rnacentral:rRNA from 1 species